rnacentral:lncRNA from 1 species
CCCACACUUAAAUCCUUGCUUGUCCUCAAGCAACAAUCACAACAUCGAAAGAAAAUCCACAAGCGAUUCUUCUCACCAAGCAAAACACCAACCAAUCCAAGUCUUUCAAGAUAUCAAUGUCUCCAAUCAAGUGUUCAAAGUUAAGGUUUAAGAUGCAACAACAAGAUGAUACCACUCGAUCCGAUCAGACCCAAUUCUCCGCUAGGGGUGAAUUUCCUAAUGCAAUUUCCUUUAUAAUCAUAUCUCCAUCCUUUUUCACAUUUUUUUUUUUCAUUUUUUCGCAUUUCACUUCUUCUUUUUUUUUUUUUUUUUUUUUUUUUGGGGUCUAAGUUGUUUUUCGCUCUUAAUAGAUAAGCCGAAAAUCACGAGAUUGAACUUUUGAAGGUGAUCCAAAAUGUUCUCGUGUGGUUUCUCAUGCUCAUAAUGAAGCCAUCAGGGGAGCAGAGACCCAGAGCUAUCAAAAACUCAACAACCAACCAAACACUUCAACACAGAGAAUGAUAUUAGGAAUUUGCACUGAAAACACUCCCCCUAGCAUCUACCGG